GGACGCGUGCCUGAAUCUAAAAGGGUUACUUUGAUAGAGUAAACUAUAGGGGCCCCAUCCCCCUCGCUUCCU
rnacentral:tRNA from 1 species